rnacentral:rRNA from 1 species
CCAAGGUUUCCUGCUCUACGUUCAUCGGAGCAGGGUGAGUCGGCCCCUAAGGCGAGGCUGAGAAGCGUAGCUGAUGGGAACAAGGUUAAUAUUCCUUGACCGCCGUUGAGUGCGAAGGGGGGACGGAGUGUUGAAGAUCAUCCGGGUGUUGGAUGUCCCGGUUUGUGAACGUAGGAGGCCGGCAGGCAAAUCCGCCGGCGUAUCUCCGAGGUGAAGCAUCGAGGUCCGUAUGGACCGAAGUGAUCGGAUGGGCUCCCAGGAAAAGCCUCUAAGCUCCAGCUCAACGGGACCGUACCGCAAACCGACACUGGUGGGCGAGCUGAAUAUGCUCAGGCGCUUGAGAGAACUCAGGAGAAGGAACUCGGCAAAUUGACACCGUAACUUCGGGAUAAGGUGUGCCUCGGUAGCGUGAAGGAAGAAACAUCCGGAGCGUGAAGAGGUCUCAGAGAAUCGGUGGCUGCGACUGUUUACUAAAAACACAGCACUCUGCAAAGACGAAAGUCGACGUAUAGGGUGUGAUGCCUGCCCGGUGCUGGAAGAUUAAUUGAUGGGGUGCAAGCUCCUGAUCGAAGUCCCAGUAAACGGCGGCCGUAACUAUAACGGUCCUAAGGUAGCGAAAUUCCUUGUCGGGUAAGUUCCGACCUGCACGAAUGGCAUAAUGAUGGCCACACUGUCUCCUCCCGAGACUCAGUGAAGUUGAAAUGUUUGUGAUGAUGCAAUCUCCCCGCGGCUAGACGGAAAGACCCCAUGAACCUUUACUGUAGCUUUGCAUUGGACUUUGAACCGAUCUGUGUAGGAUAGGUGGGAGGCUGUGAAACCGGGACGCCAGUACCGGUGGAGCCGUCCUUGAAAUACCACCCUGAUUUGUUUGAGGUUCUAACCUAGGUCGGUGAUCCCGAUCGGGGACCGUGCAUGGUAGGCAGUUUGACUGGGGCGGUCUCCUCCUAAAGGGUAACGGAGGAGUGCGAAGGUACGCUAGGUACGGUCGGAAAUCGUGCUGAUAGUGCAAUGGCAAAAGCGUGCUUGACUGCGAGACCCACAAGUCGAGCAGAUACGAAAGUAGGUCAUAGUGAUCCGGUGGCUCUGUAUGGAAGGGCCAUCGCUCAACGGAUAAAAGGUACUCUGGGGAUAACAGGCUGAUACCGCCCAAGAGUUCAUAUCGACGGCGGUGUUUGGCACCUCGAUGUCGGCUCAUCUCAUCCUGGGGCUGUAGCCGGUCCCAAGGGUAUGGCUGUUCGCCAUUUAAAGAGGUACGUGAGCUGGGUUUAAAACGUCGUGAGACAGUUUUGUCCCUAUCUGCCGUGGGCGCUGGAAGAUUGACGGGGGCUGCUCCUAGUACGAGAGGACCGGAGUGGACUCACCUCUGGUGUACCGGUUGUCACGCCAGUGGCAUUGCCGGGUAGCUAUGUGGGGAAGAGAUAACCGCUGAAAGCAUCUAAGCGGGAAACUUGCCUGAAGAUAAGUCUUCCUGGAGGCUAGACCUCCCUAAAGAGUCGUUCGAGACCAGGACGUUGAUAGGUUGGGUGUGUAAGCGCUGUGAGGCGUUGAGCUAACCAAUACUAAUUGCUCGUGCAGCUUGAUCC